UACGGAGGGGGCUAGCGUUGUUCGGAAUUACUGGGCGUAAAGCGCACGUAGGCGGCUUUGUAAGUUAGAGGUGAAAUCCCGGAGCUCAACUUCGGAACUGCCCUUGAUACAGCACGUCUUGAGUCCGGAAGAGGUGGGUGGAAUUCCUAGUGUAGAGGUGAAAUUCGUAGAUAUUAGGAAGAACACCGGUGGCGAAGGCGGCCCACUGGUCCGGUACUGACGCUGAGGUGCGAAAGCGUGGGGAGCAAACAGG
rnacentral:rRNA from 1 species